CCAGCAGCCGCGGUAACUCCAGCAACCGCGGUAACUCCAGCUCCAAUAGCGUAUAUUAAAGUUGCUGCAGUUAAAAAGCUCGUAGUUGGAUCUCGGUAGCACUGUUGCUCGUCAGUCCUUUGGUGGUUGGCUAUGUGCGCAUGGGCACGACCUGUGUUGCCGUGGCUUUUCUGCUCGAGUUGGCGGUGUGACGGUGUCGCCUUUCAGCCAUGUCUGUGGUGAAAUACCCUCAGGUGUAGGCGAGUGUCGGGUGUUGCCCAGCAUUAGUUGGGUUCGCCGGCUCGUUUGCAUGCCCUUGGAUGCCCUUCAAAAGGUGUCUGUGGGCGGAUGGCACGUUUACUUUGAACAAAUUUGAGUGCUCAAACCAGGCCGAUGUUGCCUGAAAAGUUUUGCAUGGAAUAAUGGAAUAGGACUUCGGUUCUAUUUCGUUGGUUUUCGGAUCCGAAGUAAUGAUCAAAAGAGACAGGCGGGGG
rnacentral:rRNA from 1 species